UCGCCGCCGCCGGGCUGGGGGGCGGGGUGAGUAGUCUCCGCAACCGCGGCGGGAGGACCGGCGGGAGGCGGCGGCGGCGGGCGCGGCCUGGCGGGGCUCCCGGAUGCUCAGGAGUACCAUGUGACACAAGUGUAAGAGGUGUUAUUAUAGCUCGUUUUACACAGAUUAAGAGCCGAAGGCUUAGAGAGAAGAAAGAAUUUGUCCAAGAUGAUACAUCUAGUUCAAGUGCCGCUAAGAUCUUUUCAGGUGAAAUCGUUUUGAAAGGGAGGAGGAGAGCAGGAAGUGCCUGAGUCUAAAGAAGGGGUGCUGGUGAGAGGCGGCAAGAAAGCUUAGUCCGGAAAAAGAAUUGGAGGACACAGCAAGGUCAGAAUAAGGUCCUGGAAUGAGACUCACAAGGAGGCUGGGCUUCUAUAGAACAGCAGGAAAGGACCAAGUCACUUUAUCAAAAUUUAAUAUCUUUGGAACAAGUUGGUCACAUAUAUUCCAUUUUCCCUGUGAGUUUUGCAGUGGGGCUUUUUCAAUCUCCUCUGAUGAAUUCUCCACCUCUUCUCUGAAUGCUUCUCCUCAGUUGACGCUCUGAGAAGACAGUCCCAUUUUGGAAAGCUAAUCAUAUCCUUAAGGUGACUCAGUUCAAAGUCACAUACUUUCUCAAGUGAGGCAGGAAAAUGAAUGCAUCAAUUUCUAGGAUGGGAAUGACAACCAUUUAAAAAACAACAGCCAAAUUAUAGAUGUACUUAGCACAGGAAGCAUCUGCUGACAAACAAGUCAUACAUUUUUAAAUGAUGUACAUGAAGACUUUAAAGUCCACCUUAACAGGAAAAUUGAAGAAUUCUUAAAAGGAACAGUGAGGAUUGAAAUUAUAACCUACACUCUACAAAAGUGCCCAUACCUAAUCCUCAGAGGUAUUAAAACUUUUCAGGGAUGUUAUGUCCAUCAGUUACACAAUACUAUGUUUCUAUGUACGUAUGGCCCAUGACACUUUCAAGGCCCAUGAAAAUGUCUUAAUUUUAAUUUUGUCUAAAAGCAGAAGAAAAAAUGACUAUAUUAAUAAUAAUGGUUACAUAAUAAAGAAUUUAGCCAGGAUAAUAUUUGCCUUUAUACCAAUAGUCAUAAAAUAUAAUGUCUAAUUUUUCUUUUUAUGGAAUAAGGGGCCCAUGAAGGCAAAAGUGCCUAUAUCCCAUGAAAGUCAUAAUGGGUUCCCGGAAAUAGUUAUCUAUUCAAUGUAGUCAUUGAUCAGUAUCUAAGUAAAUGCUUUGUGAAGGUUGUUUGAUGUGUGUUUAUGCAUGGUUUUGAGACAUUAUUUAGAAUAGAUUAUAUUCUCUUAACAGAAUGGAAAUUGAGGCUGUGUACCUUCUUCACAUCUGUGCUUCUUUCUUCUUGUUUGCUUCACUCUGGCUCUUUCUCUUCAUGAGCUUCUUUUACUUGCUUAUCUCUUGCACACGGCCCUGUAGUCCCCAGCCCAGCUUGGCAUCAAAUCUACCACUGAUGUUAGGCUUUGUGGAUCUGAGUUCAAAUUCUCUGCUAGGUCAUCCUCUAGUCAGGUGUUCACCAUACAUCCAAUUAGCUGUAGCUAAUCCUUCUCCCGUCGUUCUUCCCCCUGCACUCCUGCAUGCCACUCAACCUCCAUGGUAUGUACUGCAGGCCCUUCUGCAAGCUGUGUUGGGGCAGCUAAUAAAAUAUCUCCUACUAUAUGGUUUUAAUAUGACUGGAUUACACUCAGAGCAGAAAACAAUUACAGGAAGAAGGAGCCUAGCAGUAAGUAGUGGUCUUAGUGUAAUUACUCUAAUUUCUCAUGCCCUUGAUUGUCAUUUUGCCACAUAUUCAACACAUGGGAAACAGAAGGCUUCUCUCUAGGAAAUGCCAUUUGCAGAGAACUCUGUCCAAUCUAGUCAUCUCUCAGUGAAGAGCCAAAAUGCAUAAUCAGGCAGGACUCCUGCCUCGAGACUAAGCCAUUCUCUGAAGAUGAACAGACACCCUGCUAAGUCACUUUUUGCUGGAUGAGUGACCUAUCUGAGUAAGUAUCCACAUCACAUACACUGCCUGUCACUUCAGGAUUGUAAUAAGCCUUCUUCAUUAACGAUUAUGUAUUAGGAACACCUGAGUAGAUGUGACUUUAAUAGCAAGUUGAACUUUAUUUAAUUAUCACAGUGUCACACACCUUUCUACCUUUGUAGAAUUUUAACACUCAAUAAGCACAAUAUUGUUUCACUAUAAAGAAGUAUGAUUGGUGCAU